AUUGAACGCUGGCGGCAUGCUUUACACAUGCAAGUCGAACGGUAACAGGCCGCAAGGUUCUGACGAGUGGCGAACGGGUGAGUAAUGCAUCGGAACGUGCCCAGUCGUGGGGGAUAACUACUCGAAAGAGUAGCUAAUACCGCAUACGAUCUAUGGAUGAAAGCGGGGGACCGUAAGGCCUCGCGCGAUUGGAGCGGCCGAUGUCAGAUUAGGUAGUUGGUGGGGUAAAGGCUCACCAAGCCAGCGAUCUGUAGCUGGUCUGAGAGGACGACCAGCCACACUGGGACUGAGACACGGCCCAGACUCCUACGGGAGGCAGCAGUGGGGAAUUUUGGACAAUGGGCGCAAGCCUGAUCCAGCAAUGCCGCGUGCAGGAAGAAGGCCUUCGGGUUGUAAACUGCUUUUGUACGGAACGAAACGGCUCUGGUUAAUACCCGGGGCUAAUGACGGUACCGUAAGAAUAAGCACCGGCUAACUACGUG
rnacentral:rRNA from 1 species